ensembl:lincRNA linc-11 ncRNA
UCCGUCUUCCUACACAAUGUCUCGACCCUCCACUGCCUCUCGAUCUCUCAGUCGUUCCCUUUUUCUCUUCACUUCAUUCUUCCUACUAGACGCCCUACUGAAUGGGUGUCCCCCUCUUCUUUUUUAUUGAUUUUCGAUUUAUUUUCUAAAUUUUCACUAAUUCUUGCAAUUUUUCCAGUAUGAUGAAAUACUGAAGCCACUUCGAGCCCAGCCGAAAAAAGUUUCUCAGUCAUUUGGAUGAAAUAGUGAAAAGAGCCGACUGAAAACAUUUUUUUCAACCCGGAACCUAUCAUGCUUUGAGGACAAAGCAGCUUUUCAAAGGCGUCAAAUGUCACAAGCUGAUUUUUAAAAUAAUUUUUCGCCCGAAUGAAGACUGGCCACAACAUACAAUUUGGAGCAACUUCAAAAGAAUAGGAAAAGUUGCCGUCGCGGGAAAACAGCUGACUAUAACAACUAUUUCCAACAAUAAGUAAUCUCAUUAAUAACCCCAAAAACACAAAAAAAAUCUGAAAAAGUAAAAAAAAUUCAAAAAAAAAAUUAAAAUUUAAAAAUUAUUUCAAAAAAAUCCUUAUAUUCAUGAUAACCAAAUAACUUAAUAUUGAUUUUCUUCACCCUUUCUCAUAACCCUCACACUCUUAUUGUCCUAAUAGCCUAAUAUUUAUUCUUAAUCCUCAAAUCCUAAUCCUAAUAUUAUCCCUAAACAUUUGCAUUACUCUCAAAUUGUUCUCUCCUAAUAACCUAAUAUUGAUUUUUGUUAACCCUACACAUUCUCAUUAGCCACAAAAUAUCCUAAUAUCCAAAACCAUAAUAUCUUAUUAUACUUCAUCUUUAUUCAUUCAUUUAUUCUCUCAUACAACUUGUGCACCCUUUUUUGUAAAGACCAAUCUAAUUGAUUGGUUUUUUUAUGUGGAGGUUUUUAAUGCGGUAUUGCCAUCAACCAUCUUUUUUCCUUCAAUAAAUCAUCAUGCAC